AGCUUUAAGUUUUAUUUAAAGUGAGACCUGCCCAGUGCUAAUUAGUAAACGGCCGCAGUACCUUGACUGUGCUAAGGUAGCAUAAUCAGUUGGCUUUUAAAUGGAGUCGGGAAUGAAUGGAUUAAUAGGGUUAAGCUGUCUCUACUAUAUUAAAUUGAAUUUACUUAUUAGGUGAAAAUGCCUAAGUUGUAAAAGAAAAAAGACGAGAAGACCCUAGGAGUUUUAACUAGAUGCUAUUUAUUAUAGUUAAUGUUUUUGUUGGGGCGACAUUGGAACAAUUUUAAACUUCCUUUAUGUUUAUAGGCGGACUUUGUAUGUAAAUCUAAACUACCCUAGGGAUAACAGCGUAAUUCUUUUUGAGCUUGCGACCUCGAUGUUGGACUAGGAAUUUGGUGGGCUAGCCGCCUA
rnacentral:rRNA from 1 species